UGGCGGACGGGUGAGUAACGCGUGGGUAACCUGCCUCACACAGGGGGAUAACAGUUGGAAACGACCGCUAAUACCGCAUAACCCGCCGGUAUCGCAUGAUACUGACGGAAAAGAUUUUAUCGGUGUGAGAUGGACCCGCGUCUGAUUAGCCAGUUGGCAGGGUAACGGCCUACCAAAGCGACGAUCAGUAGCCGGCCUGAGAGGGUGAACGGCCACAUUGGGACUGAGACACGACCCAAACUCCUACGGAAGGCAGCAG
rnacentral:rRNA from 1 species